GAGUUUGAUCAUGGCUCAGACUGAACGCUGGCGGCAUGCUUUACACAUGCAAGUCGGACGGCAGCACAGAGAAGCUUGCUUCUUGGGUGGCGAGUGGCGAACGGGUGAGUAACGCAUCGGAACGUACCGAGUAGUGGGGGAUAACUGUCCGAAAGGAUGGCUAAUACCGCAUACGCUUUGAGAAGGAAAGCGGGGGAUCUUCGGACCUCGCGCUAUUCGAGCGGCCGAUGUCUGAUUAGCUAGUUGGUGGGGUAAAGGCCUACCAAGGCGACGAUCAGUAGCGGGUCUGAGAGGAUGAUCCGCCACACUGGGACUGAGACACGGCCCAGACUCCUACGGGAGGCAGCAGUGGGGAAUUUUGGACAAUGGGCGCAAGCCUGAUCCAGCCAUGCCGCGUGUUUGAAGAAGGCCUUCGGGUUGUAAAGGACUUUUGUCAGGGAAGAAAAGCUUUGGGUUAAUACCCUGGAGUGAUG
rnacentral:rRNA from 1 species